UGAAGACAAGUGGAAGAAAAACUGGAGCCAGAGAGAGAUGGAGGGAGGUUGCAGACAUACUGUUGUAGAUGAGCAGGAGGAAUGUGAGUCCUGCUGGACCUUCUAGGAGCAGGUGUAGUAGCUACAGGAGGAGGAUGGUGCAAAGAAGGAGAGGUUGAAGAGGGAGAAAGAGGAGGUGCAGAUGUGGAAGAGGGUGAAAAAGAAGGACUGAGUAAGGAAUCAUCAGUAGGAGGAAAGUAAACAGGAGAUGGAUUGAGAGUAGGAGAAGAAACAGAAG
rnacentral:lncRNA from 1 species